UUUUAAGGCUCAAGUUGACACUGU
rnacentral:piRNA from 1 species